GAUGAACGCUGGCGGCGUGCUUAACACAUGCAAGUCGAACGGAAAGGCUCCUGCUUGCUGGGGUACUCGAGUGGCGAACGGGAGCGUAACACGUGGGUGAUCUGCCCUGCACUUCGGGAUAAGCCUGGGAAACUGGGUCUAAUACCGGAUAGGACCACAAUAUGGGUGGUGAGGUGGCAAGUUUUUCGGUGUGGGAUGAGUGUGCGGCUUAUCAGCUUGUUGGUGGGGUAAUGGCCUACCAAGGCGUCGACGGGUAGCCGGCCUGAGAGGGUGUACGGCCACAUUGGGACUGAGAUACGGAGCAGACUCCUACGGGAGGCAGCAGUGGGGAGUAUUGCACAAUGGGCGCAAGCCUGAUGCAGCGACGCCGCGUGGGGGAUGACGGCCUUCGAGUUGAAAACUCCUUUCGCUAGAGACGAAGCGCGAGUGACGGUACCUGGAGAAGAAGCACCGGCUAACUACGUG
rnacentral:rRNA from 1 species